rnacentral:rRNA from 1 species
GACGAACGCUGGCGGCGUGCUUAACACAUGCAAGUCGAACGGUGAAGGGAUCAGCUUGCUGGUUCUGGAUGAGUGGCGAACGGGUGAGUAACACGUGAGUAACCUGCCCCCUUCUUCUGGAUAACCGCAUGAAAGUGUGGCUAAUACGGGAUAUUCUGGGUCUGUCGCAUGAUGGGUCUGGGAAAGAUAUUGUUUCGGUGGGGGAUGGGCUCGCGGCCUCUCAGCUUGUUGGUGGGGUGAUGGCCUAGCAAGGCGGUGACGGGUAGCCGGCCGGAGGGGGGGGACGGUUACACCGGGACUGAGACACAGCCCAGACUGCUACGGGACGCAGGAGUGGGGACUAUUGCACAAUGGGGGCAAGCCUGAUGAAGCGACGCCGCGUGAGGGAUGGAGGGCUUCGGGUUGUAAACCUCUUUCGGCAGUGAAGCAGGCCUGCUCAUUGUGGGUGGGUUGACGGUAGCUGGAUAAGAAGCGCCGGCUAACUACGUG